rnacentral:tRNA from 1 species
GCCGAUGUAGCUCAGUCGGUAGAGCAGCUGAUUCGUAAUCAGCAGGUCGUCGGUUCAAGUCCGAUCAUCGGCUCCA